rfam:Homo sapiens chromosome X, GRCh38 reference primary assembly.
GCCGGGUGUGGUGGCACACGCCUGUAAUCCCAGCUACUCAGGAGGCUGAGGCAGGAGAAUCGCUUGAACCCAGGAGGCUGAGGUUGCAGUGAGCCGAGACCACACCACUGCACUCCAGCCUGGGUGACAGAGUGAGACUCUGUCUCAA